rnacentral:tRNA from 1 species
GCCCGAUUAGUUCAGCUGGAUAGAAUGUCUGCCUACGGAGCAGAUGGUCGUAGGUUCGUAUCCUGCAUCGGGUA